CAAUAGCGUAUACUAAUGUUGUUGCAGUUAAAAAGCUCGUAGUUGAGCUUCUGGUAGGAGUGUCCCGGCCUUUUUGUUUUUACAAAUUGUAUGCUGUGUGACAUCUCUGGCCAUCCUUCUUCUUUGUUUAAAGAAGAUCUUUCACUGUAAAAAAAUUAGGGUGUUCAAAGCAAAAGUUUCUUUGGAAUAUAUUAGUAUGGGAUGAUAAGAUAGGCUCUAGAUGCUAUUUUGUUGGUUUGCACAUUUAGAGAAUGAUUAACAGGGACAGUUGGGGGUAUUCGUAUUUACAUGUCAGAGGUGAAAUUCUUGGAUUUUGGAAAGACGAACUACUGCGAAAGCAUUUACCAAGGAUGUUUUCAUUAA
rnacentral:rRNA from 1 species